AGUGCCCCGAAAUCCAAGUAGCUGCUUGGCUUCUUGAUUAUGCUCUUCCCAUGUCAUAUAAAGACAAAGUCUUUGGAAGGCUUGUCGACGGAGUCUGAGCUCUGUUACCUGGACCAUCCUGCUACUCAUGGAGGUUCUGCUAUAUAUCACUUGCAACCACAGUUCCAUCUAUCUCUUGACUCCUGGAUAGCCUGAUACCUAUGGACUCCUUUGGCUGUGUUCCCACCAAGCAAAUUGCAUCUCCUCAGAGAGCCAUACCUACUGGAAUGAAGCCCAAGGUUAUCAAACGUCUUUGGACUCUGUAUGUUGGACCAUCACAGUCCCCUCAUGAAGUAGCCCAACAGCUGGGAAUACAAUAUUUCAUACGAGAAGAUGAUUUCCUGCCCUUGAAGCAAAGAAAUGCUGUGAUUUGUCAGGAUGUGAUGCAGGUGGAGGGGUUCUGUGUGUGUCAUUAUCUGUGUAUCCUCAUUUCUUGGCAGCUUUGUUGUCCAGUAGAGAAAAAAAAAAAAAAAACUUAAAGAACAGCUGAAAUCUGUUUCUUAUCAUCAUAUUUUCCAGAGAAUGGAGCAAGUCCUCUUGUCAUCUGUUGGCUCAGUAUCCAUCUCUGCCGUUUGUUCUGUAAGAUUUCCCUUGAGAUAAAAAUGUUGAAAGACCGCUUCAUGCCUUUCACACUCCAGUCCUUCGCCUAACACCUGCCCCAUAAAUGCACGUCACUCCAGUAGGAUUGUUAAGUUGUCCGAUUCUCGAGUGAUCUGGUUGAAAAUUUUGAUUUGUAAAAUAAAAAUACUUUAUUUAAUCCUUUUGCCAUAUACCAGUACUACCACCCAGCAA